rnacentral:rRNA from 1 species
GCACAAGCGGUGGAGCAUGUGGUUUAAUUCGACGCAACGCGCAGAACCUUACCAGCCCUUGACAUGUCCGGGACCGGUCGCAGAGAUGUGACCUUCUCUUCGGAGCCCGGAACACAGGUGCUGCAUGGCUGUCGUCAGCUCGUGUCGUGAGAUGUUGGGUUAAGUCCCGCAACGAGCGCAACCCCCGUCCUUAGUUGCUACCAUUUAGUUGAGCACUCUAAGGAGACUGCCGGUGAUAAGCCGCGAGGAAGGUGGGGAUGACGUCAAGUCCUCAUGGCCCUUACGGGCUGGGCUACACACGUGCUACAAUGGCGGUGACAAUGGGAUGCAAAGGCGCGAGCCCUAGCAAAUCUCAAAAAGCCGUCUCAGUUCGGAUUGGGCUCUGCAACUCGAGCCCAUGAAGUUGGAAUCGCUAGUAAUCGUGGAUCAGCACGCCACGGUGAAUACGUUCCCGGGC